GCCCCUAUAGUGUAGUGGUGAUCACCUUGGACUUUGAAUCCAAAAACGCCAGUUCGAACCUGGCUAGGGGCU